CCGAUUUAUCAUUUGGGGGGGUGAGAGGAGACUCUCUCUCCCCCGACCGACACCUCCGUGCACUCUGGGAGAGGCCUCUCGAAAGAGGGUCCCCCUCCCGUUUUACGAACGCCUCGUAGUCUCGCGCGUGUCAGUGAAAUAAAAAUCGAAACA
rnacentral:misc_RNA from 2 species